GAUGAACGCUAGCUACAGGCUUAACACAUGCAAGUCGCAGGGUAACAUGAGGAAAGCUUGCUUUCCUUGAUGACGACUGGCGCACGGGUGAGUAACGCGUAUCCAACCUUCCCAUAACUACGGGAUAACCCGUUGAAAGACGGCCUAAUACCGUAUGAUAUCGUUUGCUGACAUCAAAUAACGAUUAAAGGUUUAGCGGUUAUGGAUGGGGAUGCGUCUGAUUAGCUUGUUGGCGGGGUAACGGCCCACCAAGGCGACGAUCAGUAGGGGUUCUGAGAGGAAGGUCCCCCACAUUGGAACCGAGACACGGUCCAAACUCCUACGGGAGGCAGCAGUGAGGAAUAUUGGUCAAUGGGCGAGAGCCUGAACCAGCCAAGUAGCGUGCAGGACGACGGCCCUAUGGGUUGUAAACUGCUUUUAUGUGGGGAUAAAGUGCGUGACGGGUCAUGCAUUGCAGGUACCACAUGAAUAAGGACCGGCUAAUUCCGUG
rnacentral:rRNA from 1 species